rnacentral:misc_RNA from 1 species
GAUGAAGAACGUAGCGAAAUGCGAUAAGUAAUGUGAAUUGCAGAAUCCAGUGAAUCAUCGAAUCUUUGAACGCACAUUGCGCCCGUCAGUAUUCUGGCGGGCAUGCCUGUUCGAGCGUCAUUACGCCCCUCAAGUCCCCUGUGGACUUGGUGUUGGGGAUCGGCGAGGCUGGUUUUCCAGCACAGCCGUCCCUUAAAUUAAUUGGCGGUCUCGCCGUGGCCCUCCUCUGCGCAGUAGUAAAACACUCGCAACAGGAGCCCGGCGCGGUCCACUGCCGUAAAACCCCCCAACUUUUUAUAGUUGACCUCGAAUCAGGUAGGACUACCCGCUGAACUUAAGCAUAUCAAUAAGCGGAGGA